GAUGAACGCUGGCGGCGUGCCUAAUACAUGCAAGUCGAGCGAACGGACGAUAAGCUUGCUUCUCUGAUGUGAGCGGCGGACGGGUGAGUAACACGUGUAUAACCUACCUAUAAUACUGGGAAAACUUCGGGAAAGCGGAGCUUAUACCGUAUAAUAUUUUGAACCGCAUGGUUCAAAAGUGAAAUACGGUCGUUCUGGCACUUAUAGAUGGAUCCGCGCUGCAUUAGCUAGUUGGGAAGGUAACGGCUUACGAAGGCAACGAUGCAUAGCCGACGUGAGAGAGUGGUAGGCCACCCUGGAACGUAGCCACCCUCCAUGCUCCUAAGGGACGCCGCAGUAUCGAACCUUACGCAAAGGGCGGAAACCUGGCAGAGCAAGCGGGAGUGAGAUACAACGAUCCCCGGAUCGUAAAACUGUGCUACUAGGGAAGAACAUAUGUGUAAGUAACUGUACCCAUAUUGACGGUAACUAAUCAGAAAGCCCCGGCUAACUACGUG
rnacentral:rRNA from 1 species